CGAAUGGGGAAACCCAGUGUGACUCGUCACACUAUCAUUAACUGAAUCCAUAGGUUAAUGAGGCGAACCGGGGGAACUGAAACAUCUAAGUACCCCGAGGAAAAGAAAUCAACCGAGAUUCCCCCAGUAGCGGCGAGCGAACGGGGAGGAGCCCAGAGCCUGAAUCAGCAUGUGUGUUAGUGGAAGCGUCUGGAAAGGCGCGCGAUACAGGGUGACAGCCCCGUACACAAAAGCGCAUGUGCUGUGAGCUCGAUGAGUAGGGCGGGACACGUGGUAUCCUGUCUGAAUAUGGGGGGACCAUCCUCCAAGGCUAAAUACUCCUGACUGACCGAUAGUGAACCAGUACCGUGAGGGAAAGGCGAAAAGAACCCCGGCGAGGGGAGUGAAAAAGAACCUGAAACCGUGUACGUACAAGCAGUGGGAGC
rnacentral:rRNA from 1 species